AUUGAACGCUGGCGGCAUGCCUUACACAUGCAAGUCGAACGGCAGCACGGGUGCUUGCACCUGGUGGCGAGUGGCGAACGGGUGAGUAAUACAUCGGAACAUGUCCUGUAGUGGGGGAUAGCCCGGCGAAAGCCGGAUUAAUACCGCAUACGAUCCACGGAUGAAAGCGGGGGACCUUCGGGCCUCGCGCUAUAGGGUUGGCCGAUGGCUGAUUAGCUAGUUGGUGGGGUAAAGGCCUACCAAGGCGACGAUCAGUAGCUGGUCUGAGAGGACGACCAGCCACACUGGGACUGAGACAAGGCCCAGACUCCUACGGGAGGCAGCAGUGUGGAAUUUUGGACAAUGGGCGAAAGCCUGAUCCAGCAAUGCCGCGUGUGUGAAGAAGGCCUUCGGGUUGUAAAGCACUUUUGUCCGGAAAGAAAUCCUUGACUCUAAUACAGUCGGGGGAUGACGGUACCGGAAGAAUAAGCACCGGCUAACUACGUG
rnacentral:rRNA from 1 species